AAUAUUUAUCAAUAUGUAUAAUUUGCCAUCCAAAUGCUUUUUAGAAAGUUGUAUCUCAUUAUUACACAUCAAAUUUACACGGAGUUCUCUCCUAAUCCUUGAAUUUAAACAUCAAAUUUUCAUUCUUAUUUAAUUCUGGAUACAAAGAAACAUUCAUGUACUUCAUUUUACAAUAUUUAUUCUGGAACAAGUGAUACUCAAAAGUCAAAAGAACAGAGAACAUUCCACUUGCAACCAACACAUAGUUGUUACCAAAAAAGUUAAUUCAGUGUUCAAAAAUGGAUGUGCCCGUGGAUUUCUGCUUUAACUGUCGCUUGAGUCAUUGGAUAGAAACUUUGGUUGUGAUAAAUAUUUCCCAGACGUGUAUGAAUUCGUCACCUCAAACACCCAAUGCCACGACAUGUUUCCCCCGUGUGCCUAUUUUUCUGUCUACAACAUUUCAAAGUGAAACAGCAAAGGAGAAACUUGUAUGAGAUUUCACCUCCAGAGCUUUCUCAACGAGAAUGGCUCUUCCACCUCUCAGGAGGGAGCCACGUGUCUGGGCCUAAGGGAGUCAUUGUUGUGGGCAUCUGCCGAUGCUGGAAGGAGGUGAGAAUGAGAAGGGACCCGCCUCAGCUCCGCCUCCAGCAUCCUCCCUAACGCCAAUCACUGUUCAGGCACAUGCGCACGAGGGAGGCCCCGCCCUCUCGUGGGCGCUCCAUGCCUUGCCUGCUUGUCCUCACCCUCCCCAUGCCAACUGCCCCCCGGUUUGCAAAACCUUCAGAUUCCCUUAGACCCACCCAGGAGCUCUGCCCUCCAGGGUCCUAUUGAAUUUGGUCCUACCAGCCAUCAGACUUGUCACCUUCCACACCGUGUGUGUGUGUCUGUGUUCAUUUCCUAUUGGGUUAUAACCUUGGGCAGGCAGAACAUUUGCACACGCACAGGAGCCCUGCACAGUGCCUGCCUCACGUGAACUAACCUAAGACGAGGCCAAGAGAAGGCUGGGCAGAAAAGCCAACAAGCCAUGUGGAAGACAACACUGGGCCCCCAGCACACCUGCAGCGGCAUCCGCCCCCCCACCCCGCCCCAUACCUGCCCUGCUUGUCUUUAUACGUUGCUGGAUACACACAGGACGUAGGUCCAGACUUGCUGCCCCCAUCCCCACUCCCACUUCUUCCUUUUUCCACCCCUGUCUUCCCAACCUCUCCUUUCCUGUCUUCCCCCACUAGCUUCUGUUCCCUUGUGUCCCUUUGUCACUUCUCACAGUGGCCCCCCUCGUGUCUUGUUCCUGCAGCAUCCAGGACCCUCCUCCCUGUGUCUGAGGAUGGCAGGACAUGUCAGUCUCCAAACUCUCAGCAUUAAUAACUUUCUAGUUAUCCUUGUUAGUUAAAAAACUAAAAUCCAGGGAGGAAUCCUGGGGUGCAAAUCGCCCAGGCAACCCACCUGUGCACACACGGACAGAGAUGCGCAGCUGUUGUAAUCAGCAUAGGUAUAUGCAUGUGUAUAUACGUAUAUACAUACAGAGACGCACAGCCGUCAUAGUCAGUAGGUAUAUGUGUGUGCGAGUGUGUAUAUACAUGUGCGGUUGAUAUUCACAAGUCCUGGUAUAAAGUUGCAAUUUUUCUGGCUGCUAUAAAAUGUGCCAGUUUCAAAACUGUGUGUUUGUUUCUUGCAAACUUAUAAAUAUGUAUAAACCCCAUUAUAAAUAAAUUGUGGCUGGCAGAUGGCAUUUUAUCUGCCAGCAAUGAUUGCAUGGAGUUAUAAAUGCUUAUUAAUCCUCCCCUUUUAAACCCACAGCACAGACCCCAGGAUCUACGACAUGAAGUGGCAUGAAAACAUCAUCAUAAGUUAGAGAAGGAAAGCCCUCAAGGAGAGAGAUGGGUGAGAGCUAACAAUUCACACCUGAUGAUGGUUCUCAAGGGCUAGAUGCUCCUACCAGCAUCACCUGAAAUGUAUUAGAAAUGCAAAUUGUCUGGCCCCAUCCAGACCUCUUGAGUCUGGAACUCUAGGGAGGGCCCCCAAUGGCUCUGAUGCCUGCCUUUCACCCCGAGUCUGCUCAGGAAGGUCUGUCUCUCUGCCUGAGAACUUCCUGGCUUGACCUUCCUUGUCAGCUUCCUUCCCUUCCCCACCCCUGGGUCAUACCCAGAAGAUCCAGAUGCACUCAGAGUGCCUCUCAGGGUCUGCUUCUGAGGGACCUCAAACUAAACAAAGGCAUAGAAACAUUUCCUUGUCCAUGUAAACGACUCACACCUUUAUGCAUUUGGGAAAAAAUACGGAACAUAAAUGUAAACUCAAAGAGGGAAGUCUUACCUGCCAUUUCCCAUCAGGGGCUGAGCUUUAUGUACAAGCCCGAAAGGACCCUAAUAAGUCCGGCACUCUAUCCUGGAUUCAGCCACUGACAGUCGCAACCCUCAGGCAAGUCAAUUGGCUCUAGUUUCCUCAUCGAAAAAUGGGUCCCUCCAGCUGUAGGAUCCCAAGACGCCCCCUUACUUGCUGUCCUCUGGGGAGCAGGGUCAGCUCCAGGUUUACAGCAUGUGCCCCUAAAGUAGUUUUUCCGCUUCUUUCUCAGGACCAACUUAAACUUUCACUGCAGAGCCUGAGAGGAGUAUUAUUAUUUUUGUGUGUGUCUUUUUGUCUUUUUAGAGCCGAACCUGCAGCAUAUUGAGCUUCCCAGGCUAGGGGUCUAAUCAGAGCUGUUGCUGCCAGCCUACGCCAGAGCCACAGAAACGCCAGAUCUGAGCCGCAUCUAUGACCUACACCACAGCUCACAGCAACACCAGAUCCUUAACCCACUGAGCAAGGCCAGGGAUCAAACCCUCAAUCUCAUGGUUCCUAGUUGGAUUCAUUUCCACUGCACCAUGAAGGGAACUCCUGAAAGUAUUAUUCUGACACCCAAGGCCAAGAUUUGUCUGUGUCCUGCAGUUACGUCUUUGCAAUCUUUCCACAAUCUCCUUCUCAUUUCCAACCAGGCUGUCACCAUUCACGGAAAGACAUUUAUGGAUGGUCCCCUAUGCGCUCAGCCAACGAGAGAGCAUAGACACUUUUGUGAGUGAAGCAGCCAGGAAACUCCUGUCCCUGGUGCUUAACCAUAGUCACAACCCGCCCCCGCCCAACGCCCUCUCAGGAAGGGAGUGCCCAGUCCUGCUGUGCAGGGGGUGAGCCAGGGCUCAGAGAAGCCCGGCAACUAGCUUGAGACCACGUGGCUCUGUGCAUGUGGAAGCCCAGGUGAGCUGCCCCCAGGGAGCCUGGCAGCCAAGGAAACGUGGGACUGGCCUUCACAAGGUGACCCAUUCAGGGAAAUAAAGACCCAGACAUUCGUUUAAAGUGUUGCUUAUAUAAAGGAGCCACCCAGCAUCUGAUGCCACCUGAAAGGGGAGCUCCAUUGCAGGAAGGGGGCAUCUUCAAGAUGCCAGGCUGGACCAGGAGACAUGAGUCGAUGCUGUCCCCGAGCACGGGACCCUUUUGGGGUUCAUACGAAGUGCUAACUCCAUCUACCCCUCCCCCAGGCCUGCCUUCCCUUCAAGCAGGCCUUUCCCUUUGCACAUGGCUUGUCACUUUCUGUCCUCAUUGGAAAUGAUUGGUGCCACCCUCUGCCUUCGGGACACCCCCAGCUGGGCCUCUGUCCAUGGACCCCAACAGCCCAGAUGGCCUGAAACAGAAGUGUUGCUCAAGUGAAACACAGGUUAAAGCCAGGCAGGCUCCUGAUCCUCCGGCUUCUCAAAUAUAAAAGGCCUGGAAGUGGUAGCUUAAGCAUAGGAUCUAGAUGGAAGUUAUGCGAAUGCACGUCUGGCUUCUACUCUGAACUGUCAGGCAGGGUCUCCUCAGUAGUCAGGCAUCAAAACUGACUGAAACCAGUGAGGAGCACCCCUCAGGAAGCCCCGCAGGCUCUCAGUGGACAAGAAUGUCCUUGGAAAGCGCAGCUAAUUCCCACAGGACGGUGUGGGUGGGAAGGGACACUGAGGGGAGGGGUGUCUCAAGGGCCGCUUAGCAAGAAGGGCCAUUUUAGGACGGCUGGACCCCCCUUGAUCUCCCAGCAGACACAGAGACCUGGGUCAAAGUGGCAAAGGGCCCAUGAGAGGAGCAGCAGGUCCUGGCAUCCUCGCGGGCUCAUGCUGGCCCGGUGCUCAGUGACCUCGCCCUGGGAGUCGGAGGCUUGGAGUGCACAGCAGCCUGGGUCUGCGUGGAGUUUGCCUCUGGGUCCUGAACUCCCAGUGCAGCAGAGCUCAGGAAGCACUGAGUGAGCGGCACAUCUCUGCUGCCCGCCACCUGCGUGGCCUUGAGCAAGGUGGGCACCACCUGAGCCUCAGUUUCCCCAUCUAUAAGUGAGGUUCCAAGAUGCCCAGCGCACGGUGCUUGAAGAAGAGAUGGGAUGACCCAGGUGAGCUCUUACAUGCUUUACAAAUGGGAGAAAACAAAGACUAGGAAAUCACGGCCAUCUGCUCAGUUCUCAAAUCUGCUCCAAGGGCUACAAAGCAGUGCCAGUUCACCCCACUAGUGCUGUUCUGUGGGAGGCGACUUUGUCAUCGGAGCUUCAAAAUACUAUUUUGAAUUAAUAUUGAAACAGAAUUCGAUCCCCAUUCCUUUUAAUGUUAUAAAUUGAUUCUCAUGCAAAAAAAAAAAAAACCCUAUAUUGCUUAUCACAACUGAGAUAAACACUGACUUCAGAGCAGAGAGCUCCUAAAACUGCUGAUUACCAGUACUUAUGCCCCCCAGAGAAGAAAGAAACAGAUCAAAUGUUCAGGGGCUAUCAGUUCUUAACUCUCACUUCCUGCUUUGCUCUGCCCUUGUGGGAUGUGCAAGGCUGCUGAAAGAAGUCAUAUGAUCCAUGUUUUCUUCUUUUUACAGGUGCACCUGCAACAUAUAGAAGUUCCCAGGCUAGGGGUCGAAUCGAAGCUCCAGCUGCCAGCCUACACUACAGCCACAGUAACACCAGAUCCGAGACAAAUCUGUGACCUACAUCGCAGCUCAUGGCGACACGGAAUCCUUAACCCACUGAGCAAAGCCAGGGAAUGAACCCACAUCCUCAAGGACAAUGGGUCUGGUACUUCACCUGCUGAGCCACAACGGGAAACCCGUGAUCCAUUUUUAUAUGCGUGUACACUGGCACACAGAGAAGGCUCA
rnacentral:lncRNA from 1 species